UACGGGGGGAGCAAGCGUUGUUCGGAUUUACUGGGCGUAAAGGGCGCGUAGGCGGCACCGCAAGUCGACUGUGAAAUCUCCGGGCUUAACCCGGAAAGGUCAGCCGAUACUGCGGGGCUAGAGUGCAGAAGGGGCAACUGGAAUUCUCGGUGUAGCGGUGAAAUGCGUAGAUAUCGAGAGGAACACCUGCGGCGAAGGCGGGUUGCUGGGCUGACACUGACGCUGAGACGCGAAAGCGUGGGGAGCGAACCGG
rnacentral:rRNA from 1 species